AUUGAACGCUGGCGGCAUGCCUUACACAUGCAAGUCGAACGGCAGCACGGGGGCAACCCUAGUGGCGAGUGGCGAACGGGUGAGUAAUGCAUCGGAACGUGCCCAGUAGUGGGGGAGUAACUAGUCGAAAGAUUAGCUAAUACCGCAUACGACCUAUGGGUGGAAAGCGGGGGAGUUCGCAAGAACCUCGCGCUAUCGGAGCGGCCGAUGUCUGAUUAGCUAGUUGGCGGGGUAAAAGGACCCACCCAAGGCUUCGAUCAGUAGCUGGUCUGAGAGGACGACCAGCCACACUGGGACUGAGACACGGCCCAGACUCCUACGGGAGGCAGCAGUGGGGAAUUUUGGUACAAUGGGCGCAAGCCUGAUCCA
rnacentral:rRNA from 1 species